CCCUUAGAUGUUCUGGGCUGCACGCGCGCUACACUGAUGCGAUCAACAAGUUUUUCCUAUGUCGAUAGACACGGGUAAUCUUUUGAACUCGCAUCGUGAUGGGGAUAGAUUAUUGUAAUUAUUAAUCUUCAACGAGGAAUUCCUAGUAGGUGCAAAUCAUCAGUUUGCUUCGAUUACGUCCCUGCCCUUUGUACACACCGCCCGUCGCUGCUACCGAUUGGUUGAUCUGGUGAAUUAUUCGGACUGCCGGCUGAAGGGGUUUCCUCAUCUGCCAGCGGAAAGUCUUGUUAACCCUAUCAACUAGAGGAAGCAGAAGUCGUAACA
rnacentral:rRNA from 1 species